UUUCUUUCUUCCUCUUCAGAUUGCUUUCUUACCCAAAUAUCUUUGUGAUUGCCUGCUUUGCGGCUUUGGGGGGAAGAAGGACUGAUCAGCUUGGUGAAUUUGCACGUAUCGGUGUGUCCCAGUCAUCAGCUCACAUGAGGAGUAUUUCUCAUUGAAAAAUGAAGGAAAUGCAGAUCAGAACUGAUCGCUAAAUUCAGUCUUUUUAGAGCUUAUCCAGAUUUCUUUCUAUUAAUAAA